GAUGAACGCUGGCGGCGUGCUUAACACAUGCAAGUCGAACGGAGUGCCUUUGAAAGAGGAUUCGUCCAAUUGAUAAGGUUACUUAGUGGCGGACGGUGAGUAACGCGUGAGGAACCUGCCUCGGAGGUGGGGAAUAACACAGUAGAAAAUUGUGCUAAUACCGCAUAAUGCAGUUGGGCCGCAUGGCUCUGACUGACCAAAGUAUUUAUCGCUCUGAGAUGGCCUCGCGUCUGAUUAGCUAGUUGGUGGGU
rnacentral:rRNA from 1 species